rnacentral:rRNA from 1 species
AGCUAAAGCUAGCCCAAAAAACAACCAAUCAAACUACUACUAAUUAAUAAAUCAAAACAUUCACUUACACAAUAAAGUAUAGGAGAUAGAAAUUUUAUAUGGAGCAAUAGAGAAAGUACCGCAAGGGAAAGAUGAAAGAUAUUUUAAAGCAAUAAACAGCAAAGAUUUACCCUUUUACCUUUUGCAUAAUGAAUUAACUAGAAUAAACUUAACAAAGAGAACUUAAGCUAAGUCCCCCGAAACCAGACGAGCUACCUAUGAACAAUCUAUCGGGAUCAACUCAUCUGUGUCGCAAAACAGUGAGAAGAUUUAUAGGUAGAGGUGAAAAGCCUAACGAGCCUGGUGAUAGCUGGUUGCCCAGAAUAGAAUUUCAGUUCGAUUUUAAAUUUACCUCAAACACUCCAGAAAUUUCAAUGUAAAUUUAAGAUAUAAUCUAAAAAGGUACAGCUUUUUAGAUUGAAGGAUACAGCCUUUUUUAGUGAGUAAAAAUCAAAUAAAAUCAUAGUAGGCCCAAAAGCAGCCAUCAAUUAAGAAAGCGUUCAAGCUCAACAAUCGAAUCUUCUUAAUACCAAAAACAUUAAAUCAACUCCUAAUAUGCUACUGGGCUAGUCUAUACAAUUGUAGAAGCAAUAAUGUUAAUAUGAGUAACGAGAAAGUACUUCUCCUUGCACAAGCUUAUAACAGAAACGGAUAACCGCUGAUAGUUAACAAUAAGACGAAUACACACCACCCAUUAAACACUCGUCAAACCAAUUGUUAGCCCAACACAGGAGUGCAACCAAGGAAAGAUUAAAAGAAGUAAAAGGAACUCGGCAAACACAAACCCCGCCUGUUUACCAAAAACAUCACCUCCAGCAUACACAGUAUUGGAGGCACUGCCUGCCCGGUGACAUCAGUUAAACGGCCGCGGUAUCCUGACCGUGCAAAGGUAGCAUAAUCACUUGUUCUUUAAAUAAGGACUAGUAUGAAUGGCCACACGAGGGUUUAACUGUCUCUUACUUCCAAUCAGUGAAAUUGACCUUCCCGUGAAGAGGCGGGAAUAAAACAAUAAGACGAGAAGACCCUAUGGAGCUUCAAUUAACUGACCCAAUAUAGAUUGACCAUAUUUAACCAACCAGGGAUAUCAUAACUCUAUAUCUGGAUUAGCAAUUUAGGUUGGGGUGACCUCGGAGAAAAAACCAUCCUCCGAGUGAUACAAUUCUAGACUUACUAGUCGAAACGCUCUAUCAUUUAUUGAUCCAAAAUUUUUGAUCAACGGAAUAAGUUACCCUAGGGAUAACAGCGCAAUCCUAUUCAAGAGUCCAUAUCAACAAUAGGGUUUACGACCUCGAUGUUGGAUCAGGACAUCCUAAUGGUGCAGCAGCUAUUAAGGGUUCGUUUGUUCAACGAUUAAAGUCCUACGUGAUCUGAGUUCAGACCGGAGCAAUCCAGGUCGGUUUCUAUCUAUUAAACUGCUUUUCCCAGUACGAAAGGACAAGAAAAGCAAGGCCCACUUUACUGAAGCGCCUUUAGACCAAUAGAUGAUAUAAUCUUAAUCUAAUUAGUCUACCUCUACUUAACCCUAGAAAUAGGGUUU